rnacentral:rRNA from 1 species
CCUACGGGAGGCAGCAGUAGGGAAUCUUCCACAAUGGACGAAAGUCUGAUGGAGCAACGCCGCGUGAGUGAAGAAGGGCUUCGGAUCGUAAAACUCUGUUGGUAGUGAAGAAAGAUAGAGGGAGUAACUGGUCUCUAUUUGACGGUAAUUAAUUAGAAAGUCACGGCUAACUACGUGCCAGCAGCCGCGGUAAUACGUAGGUGGCAAGCGUUGUCCGGAUUUAUUGGGCGUAAAGCGAAUGCAGGCGG